UACAGAGACUGCAAGCGUUAUUCGGAUUCACUGGGCGUAAAGGGUGCGCAGGCGGCCGUGUGUGUGAGGCGUGAAAGCCUGGAGCUUAACUCCAGAAUUGCACCUCAAACUACACGGCUAGAGCAUUGGAGAGGGUAGCAGAAUUCACGGUGUAGCGGUGAAAUGCAUAGAUAUGACUUAGAACACCAAUUGCGAAGGCAGCUUACUAAACAGAUAUUGACGCUGAGGCACGAAAGCGUGGGGAUCAAACAGG
rnacentral:rRNA from 1 species